rnacentral:rRNA from 1 species
GUAGGUGGCAAGCGUUGUCCGGAAUUAUUGGGCGUAAAGCGCGCGCAGGCGGUUCUUUAAGUCUGAUGUGAAAGCCCACGGGCUCAGCCGUGGAGGGUCAUUGGAAACUGGAGGACUUGAGUACAGAAGAGGAAAGCGGAAUUCCACGUGUAGCGGUGAAAUGCGUAGAGAUGUGGAGGAACACCAGUGGCGAAGGCGGCUUUCUGGUCUGUAACUGACGCUGAGGCGCGAAAGCGUGGGGAGCAAACAGGAUUAGAUACCCUGGUAGUCCACGCCGUAAACGAUGAGUGCUAAGUGUUAGGGGGUUUCCGCCCCUUAGUGCUGCAGCUAACGCAUUAAGCACUCCGCCUGGGGAGUACGGCCGCAAGGCUG